rnacentral:rRNA from 1 species
UACGUAGGGGGCGAGCGUUGUCCGGAUUUAUUGGGCGUAAAGAGCUCGUAGGCGGUUUGGUAAGUUGGAUGUGAAAUCUCCAGGCUCAACUUGGAGGGGUCAUUCGAUACUGCCAUGACUAGAGUUCGGUAGGGGAGUGUGGAAUUCCUGGUGUAGCGGUGAAAUGCGUAGAUAUUGGGAAGAACACCGGUGGCGAAGGCGGCUCACUGGCUCAUAUCUGACGCUCAGGCGCGACAGCGUGGGGAUCAAACAGG